UCCGCUAGUAGUGGCGAGCGAACGCGGAAGAGGCCAAACCGGAGGUAGCAAUAUUUCCGGGGUUAGGACUGCAAUAUGUAGCUUUAAUCUUUAACUGAAUGCUUUGGGAAGAGCAGCGAUACAGGGUGAUAGCCCCGUAAGUGAAAAGGAUUGAGUGCUAGCAGUAUCCAGAGUACCAGCGGACACGUGAAACCCGCUGGGAAGAUGGGGGGACCAUCCUCCAAGCCUAAAUACUACUCAGUGACCGAUAGUGGAGCAGUACCGUGAGGGAAAGGUGAAAAGUACCCCGGGAGGGGAGUGAAAAAGAACCUGAAACCUUGUGCCUACAAGCACCGAGAGCACGUUAAAGUGUGAUCGGGUACUUUUUGUAGAACGGUCCGGCGAGUUAAUAUUUGCAGCGAGGUUAAGGAACUGGAGUUCCGGAGCCGCAGCGAGAGCGAGUCUGAAAAGGGCGUAUGAAGUUGCAGGUAUUAGACCCGAAACCGGGUGACCUAUCCAUGAGCAGGCUGAAGCGGUGGUAAGACACCGUGGAGGGCCGCACCCACGUCUGUUGAAAAAGCCGGGGAUGACUUGUGGAUAGCGGAGAAAUUCCAAUCGAACUCGGAGAUAGCUGGUUCUCCCCGAAAUAGCUUUAGGGCUAGCGUUAUUUUAGAUUACCGGAGGUAAAGCACUGAAUGGUCUAGGGGCCGCGAGGUUACCAAAGCCUAUCAAACUCUGAAUGCCGGAUAAUUGAUGAAUAGCAGUCAGACUGUGUGAGAUAAGUCUCAUAGUCAAAAGGGAAACAGCCCAGAUCUACAGCUAAGGUCCCAAAUGAACACUAAGUGGAAAAUGAUGUGAAACUGCGAAGACAACCAGGAUGUUGGCUUAGAAGCAGCCACUCAUUCAAAGAGUGCGUAAUAGCUCACUGGUCGAGUGGUUUUGCGCAGAAAAUGUAACGGGGCUAAGUGUUCAACCGAAGCUUAGGCAUUGCAGUAAUGCAUUGGGUAGGGGAGCGUCGUAUGCGGGGUGAAGUCAGAGCGGAAGCACUGGUGGACUGCAUACGAGUGAGAAUGCCGGAAUAAGUAGCGAGAAUUAUGUGAGAAUCAUAAUGGCCGAAAAUCUAAGGUUUCUUGGGGAAGGUUCGUCCGCCCAAGGUUAGUCGGGAGCUAAGCUCAGGCCGAAAGGCGUAGGCGAUGCACAUACGGUAGAAAUUCCGUAACCACCGAACAUUUAAGCUAGAGGGACGCUUUCUUUAAGGUUAUCCCGGGCGAUGGUUGCCCCGGGCGUAAGGGACCGAAAUAUAGUAGGGAAGUAACUGGCGAGAGAGACGAGAAAAGCUCUGGUGUAUACUAAGGUGCCCGUACCGCAAACCGACACAGGUAGAUGGGAUGAGUAUUCUAAGGCCAACGGGAGAAGGGUUGUUAAGGAACUCGGCAAAUUGGCCCCGUAACUUCGGGAUAAGGGGCGCCUGCGAGAGCAGGCCGCAGUGAAAAGGCCCAAGCGACUGUUUAGCAAAAACACAGCUCUCUGCUAAAUCGAAAGAUGACGUAUAGGGGGUGACGCCUGCCCGGUGCUGGAAGGUUAAGGGGAGUGCUUAGCGCAAGCGAAGGUGCGAACUUAAGCCCCAGUAAACGGCGGCCGUAACUAUAACGGUCCUAAGGUAGCGAAAUUCCUUGUCAGGUAAGUUCUGACCCGCAUGAAAGGCGUAAUGAUCUGGGCACUGUCUCAACAGCCCGCCCGGCGAAAUUGUAGUACCGGUGAAGAUGCCGGUUUCCCGCAACUAGACGGAAAGACCCCAUGGAGCUUCACUGUAGCUUGAUAUUGGGAUUCGGUAUUCCAUGUACAGGAUAGGUGGGAGGCUAGGAAGCGAGCGCGCCAGCGUUCGUGGAGCCAACCUUGGGAUACCACUCUUGGGAUAUUGGGAUUCUAACCUGCGACCAUGAAUCUGGUCGGGGGACACUGUCAGGUGGGCAGUUUGACUGGGGCGGUCGCCUCCAAAAGAGUAACGGAGGCGCUCAAAGGUUCGUUCAGCACGGAUGGAAAUCGUGCACUGAGUGUAAACGCAUAAACGAGCCUAACUGCGAGAAUGACGGUUCGAGCAGUAACGAAAGUUGGAGUUAGUGAUCCGGCGGUAUGU
rnacentral:rRNA from 1 species